CGCGCAUGUGAGAGCGACAAGUACAACACAACAUAUGAGCGGACAAUACUCGCAACAAUAUUGUACAAUGGAUCUGAUUGGAAUUGCUUUUUCCAGAGACUCUGGAAAUAGAACUGUAGUUAUUUUUUUUUUUUAACUUUAUACCGUGAUAAAACCUGAGCAAGAUACAAGGGUGCUUGCUAACUGCCAUAAGAGAACGCUCCCCUAUGCACCGAAUAUGCUAGGUUGCAAGUCUCCUUUUAAUUUCCCCCAACAAGCUACGGUACUUUGUCAACAGUUAAAAAAAAAGCUUUUCAAACGCAAAAUAAAAUAUAUGUACUUCUUUUUUCCGUUUUAGUUCUAGAACAUACUUGAAAGAAUAAUAAACUAAACACUUUUGUAAGACACGCACUUUUAUUUCUACAUUUUAGGAAAGAAUUCUUAACCACGAUUAAAAUCUUUAUCCUUUUAUAGAGAAAUAUACUAUUGGAAUAUAUUAGUUAUUCUUAAUAUUCAUGUGUUAAGUAAGAAAUAUAUUAUUCAUUCAAAUGAUAUUGUAAAGAUGCAAUUACUUGUUAAUGUCUUAUUCAACCAAAUCGAUAUGAAUAUUUAACACACGGGGAAAAAAAAUUCAUAAUGUCGCCUUACUGCAAGUAGUUGGGCGGAUGUAGACUCGAGAGAAGGAAAAUAAACAUUUUAAUUUUCAAUCUU